UUCUGAAUUGUCUGACCAAAGAAUCCACUAAACUUUAACCCAUUUCCUAAACUGACUUAGUCACACCCCUCACUCUGCCCCCUCCCCUUUUAGUUAUACAUCACUUUGGGAAGCAUUUAGAGUAGAACUGUAGAAAGUCACUAUUAGCCGUAAUUGAAACAAUGGCUCUGAUUCCUCCUACAUGUUUGAGAGUUGGUUUCUAUGUCCUCUGUUUGUGGCACAGACACUCAUCUAACAUUCAUUGAGCUGUUUCUUGCUAGAAGCUUAUUCAGUCCCCCCCCUCAUCAACUUUAUGAGGUAGGUGUAUCGUUCCAAUUUUAAAGAUGAGGAAACAGGCUUAAAGAGUAUCUAAACGCAAGUAUCUAAUCGCAAGGUCGCAUGGCCAAGCUGUGGCAGAUUGAGGAUUUGCGUGUCUGUGUCAUUCUAGACUCGUGUUCAACCGUUGUGCUGUGCUACUUGUGCUCUUGAGUUUAUGGCGUCAUUUUUCCAUUUGAAAUCUUCCACUGGCUUCGCAUUACACUUGGAAUAAUGUCCAGACUUCUUAUUGUGGGUCUGUAAGGCCCUGCAUAAUUUGAUUCUCUUCGACUUCUCUGAUCUGUUUUUUAUUGCUUGCUGUUUUCCAGCUUUUCUGGCUCUCUUUGUUUUAUUUUUCAUACAAGAAAGGCCCCUUUGCUGCCUUCGCACCUUGAUACCGCUCUUCCUUUGCCCUGUCUCAGACCCCCUUGGAUAGCUGAUUUUUCCUCAUCUUUUAGAUCUAGACUCAAAUAAUAGCUUCCCAGAUAGGCCUUUGCCUAAGAAAGACCUAGCUUAAAGUAGAACUCUCCUCCCACCCCCAAAAAAGUGUCAGUCUCAUUUGCUUUGCUGUAUUUCUUCCCUUGAUAAUGCUUACCACCACCCAUAUUAUCUUGUUUAUUUAUUUUUUUGUUUUUCUUCCCCCACUAGAAUGUAAGCUCCAUGAGGUAAAGGGCCUUACCUAUCUUGUUGACCACUGAGUCCCCAAGCAUCAAGCAUAAUGCCUAGUAUAUCAUAAAUAUCAGAUGAUUCAUGAAUGGAAGGAAGGAAUGUUAAUAAGUUCAUGGCCAAGCAAAGGAAGGAAAAGGAGCAGAAUGAGGCUGAAGAAAGAAGCUCUAGGUGAUUGGGGGAAAGGGGAAAGAACUCAUUAGAAAUUCGUUUAGGGUCCAGUUGAUUUGUGUAUUUUUGUUAUCACUUAAUUUGUAAUUUUUGUUUCAGAAGCGAAUAUUCAUGUUGUACAAAUUUCUGAUUGCCCUUGAUGUAGAGAGACUGAUGGGGAAAGUAUGAUGGGUUUGAUUUUUAUAUCAAAUCAUCAGGCAUGGAGAAAUAUCUUUUAGAAGUGUUAAAUAAAUGUUCCUACUGUAUAUUUAAAAUACAA